GACGAACGCUGGCGGCGUGCCUAAUACAUGCAAGUCGAACGGUUUAGUUCCAAGAGGCUUGCCUUUUGGAACUAGACAGUGGCGGACGGGUGAGUAACACGUAGGCAACCUACCUGUCAAACCGGGAUAACCUCGGGAAACCGAAGCUAAACCCGGAUAAGCUCCUUUUUCGCAUGAAGGGGGAGUGAAAAGGUGCGACCUGAUGACAGAUGGGCCUGCGGCGCAUUAGCUAGUAGGUAGGGUAACGGCCUACCUAGGCGAUGAUGCGUAGCCGACCUGAGGGGGCGUACGGCCACACUGGGACUGAGAUACGGCCCAGACUCCUACGGGAGGCAGCAGUAGGGAAUCUUCGGCAAUGGGCGAAAGCCUGACCGAGCAACGCCGCGUGAGUGAGGAAGGCCUUCGGGGUGUAAAACUCUGUUGUUUGGGAAGAAGGGAAAGGGUAGGACCCUUAGGUGACGGUACCAAACGAGAAAGCCCCGGCUAACUACGUG
rnacentral:rRNA from 1 species